rnacentral:rRNA from 1 species
AACGAACGCUGGCGGCAGGCUUAACACAUGCAAGUCGAACGCCCCGCAAGGGGAGUGGCAGACGGGUGAGUAACGCGUGGGAAUCUACCUAGUUCUACGGAACAACAGAGGGAAACUUCUGCUAAUACCGUAUACGCCCUAAGGGGGAAAGAUUUAUCGGAAUUAGAUGAGCCCGCGUAAGAUUAGCUAGUUGGUGGGGUAAUGGCCUACCAAGGCGACGAUCUUUAGCUGGUCUGAGAGGAUGAUCAGCCACACUGGGACUGAGACACGGCCCAGACUACUACGGGAGGCAGCAGUGGGGAAUAUUGGACAAUGGGCGCAAGCCUGAUCCAGCCAUGCCGCGUGAGUGAUGAAGGCCUUAGGGUUGUAAAGCUCUUUCAGUGGGGACGAUAAUGACGGUACCCACAGAAGAAGCCCCGGCUAACUUCGUGCCAGCCGCCGCCGUAACAC